rnacentral:lncRNA from 1 species
UCUGCUCCUCUGACAUGACUCCUGGAACAAAUGACUCAAGCUGCCCAGCGUCACAUCAGAUGAGGCUACAAUUUAAAUAAAUGGAACCACUCACUGUUUCAGGCAAAGACAGAUGACAUUUGGGCCUCUUACUUUUUUUCUAUUGAGUUUUCCUCCCUGAUGGAAGGAGCCAAAAAGACAGUCAGGAAUAAGGGGCGGAAGGAAGGUGAAAGCAGAGCACAGCCCACUGCCUCUUGUGUCCAGAGGAAG